rnacentral:rRNA from 1 species
CUACGGGGUGCUCCAGUGGGGAAUAUUGCACAAUGGAGGAAACUCUGAUGCAGCAACGCCGCGUGGAGGAUGACACUUUUCGGAGCGUAAACUCCUUUUAUAUAGGAAGAAGAUGACGGUACUAUAUGAAUAAGCGCCGGCUAACUCCGUGCCAGCAGCCGCGGUACUACGGAGGGCGCAGGCGUUACUCGGAAUCACUGGGCGUAAAGAGCGUGUAGGCGGAUUAAAAAGUCAGAAGUGAAAUCCUAUAGCUUAACUAUAGAACUGCUUCUGAAACUCUUAAUCUAGAAUAUGGGAGAGGUAGAUGGAAUUUCUGGUGUAGGGGUAAAAUCCGUAGAGAUCGGAAGGAAUACCGAUUGCGAAGGCGAUCUACUAGAACAUUAUUGACGCUGAGACGCGAAAGCGUGGGGAGCAAACAGGAUUAGAUACCCCGGUAGUC